GAUGAACGCUGGCGGCGUGCCUAAUACAUGCAAGUCGAGCGAACGGACGAGAAGCUUGCUUCUCUGAUGUUAGCGGCGGACGGGUGAGUAACACGUGGAUAACCUACCUAUAAGACUGGGAUAACUUCAGGAAACCGGAGCUAAUACCGGAUAAUAUUUUGAACCGCAUGGUUCAAAAGUGAAAGACGGUCUUGCUGUCACUUAUAGAUGGAUCCGCGCUGCAUUAGCUAGUUGGUAAGGUAACGGCUUACCAAGGCAACGAUGCAUAGCCGACCUGAGAGGGUGAUCGGCCACACUGGAACUGAGACACGGUCCAGACUCCUACGGGAGGCAGCAGUAGGGAAUCUUCCGCAAUGGGCGAAAGCCUGACGGAGCAACGCCGCGUGAGUGAUGAAGGUCUUCGGAUCGUAAAACUCUGUUAUUGGGGAAGAACAUAUGUGUAAGUAACUGUGCACAUCUUGACGGUACCUAAUCAGAAAGCCACGGCUAACUACGUGCCAGCAGCCGCGGUAAUACGUAGGUGGCAAGCGUUAUCCGGAAUUAUUGGGCGUAAAGCGCGCGUAGGCGGUUUUUUAAGUCUGAUGUGAAAGCCCACGGCUCAACCGUGGAGGGUCAUUGGAAACUGGAAAACUUGAGUGCAGAAGAGGAAAGUGGAAUUCCAUGUGUAGCGGUGAAAUGCGCAGAGAUAUGGAGGAACACCAGUGGCGAAGGCGACUUUCUGGUCUGUAACUGACGCUGAUGUGCGAAAGCGUGGGGAUCAAACAGGAUUAGAUACCCUGGUAGUCCACGCCGUAAACGAUGAGUGCUAAGUGUUAGGGGGUUUCCGCCCCUUAGUGCUGCAGCUAACGCAUUAAGCACUCCGCCUGGGGAGUACGACCGCAAGGUUGAAACUCAAAGGAAUUGACGGGGACCCGCACAAGCGGUGGAGCAUGUGGUUUAAUUCGAAGCAACGCGAAGAACCUUACCAAAUCUUGACAUCCUUUGACAACUCUAGAGAUAGAGCCUUCCCCUUCGGGGGACAAAGUGACAGGUGGUGCAUGGUUGUCGUCAGCUCGUGUUGUGAGAUGUUGGGUUAAGUCCCGCAACGAGCGCAACCCUUAAGCUUAGUUGCCAUCAUUAAGUUGGGCACUCUAAGUUGACUGCCGGUGACAAACCGGAGGAAGGUGGGGAUGACGUCAAAUCAUCAUGCCCCUUAUGAUUUGGGCUACACACGUGCUACAAUGGACAAUACAAAGGGCAGCGAAACCGCGAGGUCAAGCAAAUCCCAUAAAGUUGUUCUCAGUUCGGAUUGUAGUCUGCAACUCGACUACAUGAAGCUGGAAUCGCUAGUAAUCGUAGAUCAGCAUGCUACGGUGAAUACGUUCCCGGGUCU
rnacentral:rRNA from 1 species